rnacentral:rRNA from 1 species
CAAGGUCUCCGAUUGGUGAACCAGCGGAGGGAUCAUU